rnacentral:rRNA from 1 species
GGUGAGUAACACGUAUCCAACCUGCCGUCUACUCUUGGACAGCCUUCUGAAAGGAAGAUUAAUACAAGAUGGCAUCAUGAGUCCGCAUGUUCACAUGAUUAAAGGUGUUCCGGUAGACGAUGGGGAUGCGUUCCAUUAGAUAGUAGGCGGGGUAACGGCCCACCUAGUCUUCGAUGGAUAGGGGUUCUGAUAGGAAGGUCCCCCACAUUGGAACUGAGACACGGUCCAA